CCUACGUGAGGCAGCAGUGAGGAAUAUUGGUCAAUGGGCGAGAGCCUGCACCAGCCAAGUCGCGUGAAGGAUGACGGCCCUACGGGUUGUAAACUUCUUUUGUCAGGGAGCAAUUGAGUCCACGUGUGGGCUUAGCGAGAGUACCUGAAGAAAAAGCAUCGGCUAACUCCGUGCCAGCAGCCGCGGUAAUACGGUGGGAGCGAGUGUUAUCCGGAUUUAAUGGGUUUAAAGGGUGCGUAGGCGGAAUAGCAAGUCAGCGGUAAGAAGUCGGGGCUCAACCCCGUCGUGACGUUGAAACUGAUGUUCUUGAGUGGGCGAGAAGUAUGCGGAAUGCGGGGUGUAGCGGUGAAAUGCAUAGAUAUCACGCAGAACUCCGAUUGCGAAGGCAGCAUACCGGCGCCCAACUGACGCUGAAGCACGAAAGCGUGGGUAUCGAACAGGAUUAGAUACCCCUGUAGUC
rnacentral:rRNA from 1 species